rnacentral:rRNA from 1 species
GCCAGCAGCCGCGGGAACACCGGCGGCCCGAGUGGUGAUCGUGAUUAUUGGGUCUAAAGGGUCCGUAGCCGGUUUGGUCAGUCCUCCGGGAAAUCUGAUAGCUCAACUAUUAGGCUUUCGGGGGAUACUGCCAGACUUGGAACCGGGAGAGGUAAGAGGUACUACAGGGGUAGGAGUGAAAUCUUGUAAUCCCUGUGGGACCACCUGUGGCGAAGGCGUCUUACCAGAACGGGUUCGACGGUGAGGGACGAAAGCUGGGGGCACGAACCGGAUUAGAUACCCGGGUAGUCCCAGCCGUAAACGAUGCUCGCUAGGUGUCAGGCAUGGCGCGACCGUGUCUGGUGCCGCAGGGAAGCCGUGAAGCGAGCCACCUGGGAAGUACGGCCGCAAGGCUGAAACUUAAAGGAAUUGGCGGGGGAGCACAACAACGGGUGGAGCCCUGCGGUUUAAUUGGACUCAACGCCGGACAACUCACCGGGGGCGACAGCAAUAUGUAGGCCAAGCUGAAGACUUUGCCUGAAUCGCUGAGAGGUGGUGCAUGG